CACGGGGUGGGGGGACUGACUCAAAAUAAGAAUCAUCAGAGAGAACAUAUGGAUAACACGACGGCAUCGGCACUGAGAGCAAAAACUGGAUUAAAUUUACUUUUCGAGCCUUGACUUUGUCGGGUCAUUUUGGAUUUAUCAAAGAAACAGCCUUGGCAUAACCAGCAGGAUCAGAUGACACAGGUGAACUCCUCACUGGCCGAAGCAUUGCACAACGCCAGCCAGUGCUGUUUAUCAUCGUGGACUGUCGGGGGAGGCGUCUUGCACUGGACUGGCAUGAGAAAGAAAAGGCUUUGUGCUCUGAAGAAUAUUUCAAAUCACAAUUUGGGCCAAAUCCUCAAUGACAAAAAAAAAGUAAAACAAAAACCACACACAAAAAAAACAACUAUAGCAGGGUGUGUCUCUCUUUCACCGAUCCCCUCUGUGACCAAGUGUCCAGGAAGUGUUUCAUGGUCAGAGGAGGUGUAGAGGGAUCACGGCGUACGACGGACAGUGAGGGUGUUGAGCACAGAAGCACCGAGAGUGUGAAUCAGAUAUUUGAGUAUGACAGAGGGGUAAAAAUGAGGAAUAACAGGAGAAGUUAACAGUGAGAGGGGUACACAGAUCAGCUGAUGAGUGGCAUCCAAGUGUUCAGCCAAACUUUUAGACAUUUCUGCUGUAAUUUCAAAUACUUGAUGGUGUUGGUAAAAAAAAAAAAGAAAGAAAAAAGCGUAGGUUCAGAAAUCAGGAAAAAUGCAAAAGAAGGCUGCACAGAAGCUGAACGAUUAAAAUUAGUGUUACUCCAUCUGCACACGCAGCUUCAAAUAUUCGUUGACUCUCUUGCCGAAGCACGUCUAACAAUCGUGCUUUACUACAGUCCAGAACAUUUUAUUCUCUUCUCUUGAGCCACGCCCCGGAAGGCCUCAGAGCUCAGCCAACAUGCAACACAUCGCCCUCCCUUCUUGCCUCUCUCCCAGCUCUCUUUGUUUACAGGAAGCGGCUGCAUGGAUACCUCUUUACAUCAGACUUGUCUCACUCAUCUUAUCUAUUUUUUUCUCAGGUUCACCAUGUCCACAGCAGCACCGUUUCUCCUGUCACGGACCGCAGCAAGAGAGCUCUUAGCCAGACUAAAAAAAGCAGCAAAACAUUCAAUUUUAAACAUUAAUGGAUGGAAAGCGCCCUUAAAAACAAACCAACACAAGCUGGUUGGUUUGCUUCCUCUGAUCCCCAAACGUUUUGUCAAACUGAGCUCAGAUAAACAACGUUAAUCCGAGAGUUGCACGAAUGUCCUCCACUUGCUGCAAAAAGCCACAUUUAGAUGAACCCUGUUGCUAUUGACAACAGUCCAGCUCAGUAUGAUACUGAUACCACUGUGGAUGUCAUAAAUAUCAAGUCUCUACGUGGCCCUAAAAAGAUUUUUGGGUUUUCAGAUACUUUUUGGGAUGUCUGGCAAUUCAAAAGUCCCCCUAACCUAAAAAGAAGGAGCAUUCUUCUUACUUACCAUUUAGAAUAGCCAUCUCUUAUUAUUUUUCUCUGUUGUUAUUCUUUUUUUGUCCAUUCUUUUCUCUGUAGAUACAGCACGUCUCAUUAAAAUAGGAUUGGUCUGUUAGGUAUGACACUGAAACACCGAGCAAAGAUCAGUCAGAUUUCUGUGGCUGGUACUCGUGACCCACAUCAUACCAGAUCAACUGUACACACUUUUAACCGGGACUUUGAUGCCAACACAUUAAAGGAAUUGUUGGGAGUAGAAAUGUUAAUCUCUGCGUGUGCUGACUGUAUGUUAAACAUGUAUGAUGUUGCAGUAAGAAAAAAAAAGAGGGCAGACUUUAUAUAUGCAGUAAAUGCACACAAACACACUUAGGGUAAAUAAUAGCUUGGCCUGGUGAACUAAUCAAGCACUAAUGUCACAAACUCAGCUGUGGGAAUGGCUGCAUCUCAACAACCGCGACAGAGCCUGGAUCCCGGAUCGUGCAACACGAUGCCCUGCCUGCACUAAUGCACAGCCAGAGGGACGGUGCUGAUUCAGGCUCUCUCCUCAUUAUCCGAUCAGCGAGCAGCCUGUGAAUCAGCUCUGACCUGAACAACAUGUAAAGAUCCAAAACACCAUGAGCGGGGAGAUCGGGCAGCAACUCGGACACGCCAAGAAGAAACUGCCCUCGAAGUGAACCUAAUCAAUGUCAUGUUGUUCAUUAGAAAAUGGAGAAAAGUUGUUGUAGUCAGCAUUACUGGUGGAAAGCUGUUUGAGAUUUAUUUCUGUCUUGUCCAGUUUGUUUGUCUUUAAAACGCUUAAAUGAUUAAAUCUGUCUUAGCACAGCCAGGAGAAACUGAAAACAAAGGUGUUUUUGUGUCCCUGCUAAUCCUUGUCUGUGUCCACUGUGAGAAGUUUUCUUUCUUUGCAGGCAUGCUCUCUGUGAUGUUGUGUGUUUUUGCCUCACUGUACAUGCCACUAAAACGCAGGCAGGACCUUGGAUAUAAAGGUACUGGAAUAAAAAUGCUUGACUGUGAA